CAUAGCCUUUAUAAAGGCUCAGCAGCAAUCAGACCGUUUCAUUUCAAAUUCACGAACAGCAGAAAAGAUUGUCCCGCCAAGCUACAUUUCGAAUGGAGGAAGAAAUGAGCACAUAUCGCUUCAAUUCCGACCUGCCAUCGCCUUCUGCCGGAGUGGGAAAGCUUUGCAAGGAACCAUCUAGGAGGUUUUCUGUAGAGAAUUUUGGCAGUAAAGGAACAGCAGAAACAUACAAAGCGUCUGUAAAUGAAUUCUGGGAACACUCUAAUUCAGAGAAUUAUAGCCCCACAUCAGCUGAUAAACAAAUCAAGCUCAUUAUAGCAAAGAUCAAGCAAAAAAUAAGAGCUAGGUUAAACUUGAAAUUUUUUCAGAAACUGGAUGAAUCUAUGACUUCUAUCUUUUGUAUCCUUAAUGAGUUACAUACAAAAUUAAAAAAGCAGAGGAUUGAUGCCACUAGGAACUGCAGGUCUGGUUUGAAAAAGAUGGAACGUGUUUGCAAGCAAAUUGAGUUUGCAAUGCAAGAGCAGACUGAUAUGCAGAGACAGCAGUUCAAUGCCCUUCAAUUUGAUAUUCUAGAAAUAAAAAGUAUGAUGCAGACUAUGGCAACAAUAAAAUAUAAAACUUGCCCUUGUUUCUCUUCAGAGAAGGAAUGCACAAAGUAUUCUGUGGCAGAUUCAAAAUCAAUGAAAAGAUAUUCCUCAAAUCAACAGAUAGGCAAUGAAAACAGGAAAAAUUCAGGUCAAGAAGGCACAGAUAUUAAAGAUGAUGAAUUCCUGGAAGGUUUUCUUGGUUUCCAAGAAAUUUCAAUGCAGGAACAUCGCAUUCAUGGUAUACAGCAGGUUGCAGGUCACAUUUCUCCUGUUGAAUCUUGUGGAAUGGAUGAGAUUUUGGAGGUAAUUAAUGAAAAUGAAAUAAGUUCUCUUCAAAAGGGUGGUGAAACAAGGAAGCAAUGGAAUGCUAUGCUGACAGACAAUGCAGAAACUACCAUGCCAUGCAUACAUUGUGAUGAUGGAACCAAUGUGCAGGAUUAUAUGGUAUCCAAUGCUUGUCCUCCUGAAAUCUGGAAGGGAAACAUCUUCCUGGUGAACAAAAAAGAAUUCACUCCCCAUCUUUCUGUUGAAGAGCAGAAUUCUAAAAAAUCUAUGAAUUUGCGAAAUUGUGGUAGCAUUUCAAACUUUCUGUUGCCUCAAACCAGCAGAGGAUCAAUAAAUGAUAUCGAUUGCAAUAAGGAGAAUUUCCAGUACAAUGGAUUGGGGACAGAGCUAUCAUCUUCAGCAGAACAUUAUAAUAGAUGUGACAUUACUGAACCAUCACAAGCUCAUGAAUGCAUGAAUGAGUUUGACAAGGACAUUUUUAGAGGAGAGAUGGGGAAAGACACAGAUUUGAUGGACAUUCUUGGCAACAGAUUACCAGAAUCUCCAGUAAACAAGGAUAAAGUUUUGAAUUCAAAUACAGCUGAGAAGCAGAGAUCAAAUACGGCAGAGCAUGCAUAUGCUUUUAAGGAACUUUAUACAGAAGAACAACCUAGUAUGAAGGAGAAGAAAACAAGACUAGAUGAUUUACACUUAUCUGCUAAAAAGAACCAUUGUCCUUCUAGAAAGGGGGUCAAAUGCCAAGCUUCUUGGUUGAGACGGCCAUCUCAUCGGUUUAAUGAAUUUGAAGUAGAAUGCCUGGUUUGUGCUGUUGAAAAGUUUGGAACUGGAAGGUGGCGAGAUAUUAAAGAAAUGUAUUUUUCUACCUUUAAAUUCCGCACUGCGACAGACUUAAAGGAUAAAUGGAGAUCUCUGCUCCACUCUGCUAUGCGUUUCUCAAUUAACAAGAAUUUCCGGACCACAAUCCCAGUGAAUGUCUUGAAACGAGUAUAUUCAGUUCAUGUUAAUGGACACUAACAAAAAGGAAGCAGUGUGGCAGCAGUACAAAGUUGUAUCAGCACUAGAUCAGCUUCUUGCUUUAAGUUUCAAUGUAUACUUCAGCUCGAUUGAUAAACACAAAUUUUGGGUAACUAUUGUAAAGAUAAUGUGGGAGAUCUAAAGACGAUUAGGGCAACACCAAUGAUUUGCUUGCUAUGGACAUGGGUGAUGGAAAGGAUGAAAACUUGCUUACAAAUGCAUGACCAAAUUGUUAACUUGUUAAUGAAGUGAAUUUGGUGAAAUAGCUAGUAUCAUAAAGGAGUGGCCAAUCACCCAAUUUGUGGCCACACAAUUUGUUAGAGGAAGGGAGAGGGUUUUUAUAUUAGCAAGUGCCAAAUUUUCUUUAUUUGAAAAUGAAAAAGCUUAUAUCUAAGAAAAUACGAAUUUUU